ensembl:lncRNA
GUCAGGUUAUCUGGAUGGAAUGAAGUCAGGUUAUCUGGAUGGAAUGAAGUCAGGUUAUCUGGAUGGAAUGAAGUCAUGUUAUCUGGAUGGAAUGAAGUCAGGUUAUCUGGAUGAAAUGAAGUCAGGUUAUCUGGAUGGAAUGAAGUCAGGUUAUCUGGAUGGAAUGAAGUCAGGUUAUCUGGAUGGAAUGAAGUCAGGUUAUCUGGAUGGAAUGAAGUCAGGUUAUCUGGAUGGAAUGAAGUCAUGUUAUCUGGAUGGAAUGAAGUCAGGUUAUCUGGAUGAAAUGAAGUCAGGUUAUCUGGUUGGAAUGAAGUCAGGUUAUCUGGAUGGAAUGAAGUCAUGUUAUCUGGAUGAAAUGAAGUCAGGUUAUCUGGAUGGAAUGAAGUCAUGUUAUCUGGAUGAAAUGAAGUCAUGUUAUCUGGAUGGAAUGACAUUGUGUUAUCUGGAUG